CCGCACAGAAACUGAGCGCGAGUCCGUCUCCUCCCCUUGCCGCCCUGACUCCGGCCUGCGGUCGCCCCUGCCCCCUCUUCUCCGUCCGGCCGUUCAAGCAGAAGCAGCGCCGUCCGCCAGUUCGUGCUUGACUCCUCAGUCUCGGCCUCUCGGGCUUGGCCGCCGCGGCGCCGGCGCGCCGCCCGCCGGUUCCGCCUUCACCGGUUUCUCCCGCUGGCCGCCGCUUCCUCCUUUAGGCCUUUAUUACUCUGCAGUGAGAAGGUCUGCUACCAGGAUCAGAUGAAGACAACUAUCCGUUAACACGACAAGUGCAGAAACCAGAGAGACAUAUGGGUUCAUCAACAUCCUGCAAACUCUAGCGACCCGACCUUGCAGUUUCCUGUUGUAGAUUGGGAGAGGCUGCCUGGAUAUGGCAUCGACGCGCAGCUCACUAGAAUGUCAGGUCUCCUCGCCAUUGCCAUGAAAGAGAAAAAGAUUCUGGUGACAAGCUACUAUAAUCGAGCCGAUCACGGAGGUUGGAAAGGACUCUUGAAGUAUAGCUGGUCAUGCUACUUUUCUUUCCGAGAUGUCUCCAGACUGCCGGAACCGAGCUUUCAAGGUGAUGCAAAGUAUAGACUCUUGGGACAAUGAAGAUUUGAAAGUGAAGGAGAACUAUACCUCCAAGGAAAUAUGUGUUGGGAAAAUACCUAGGCAGUAAGAUACCUGACGAGGUUCUGGACCAAGUAUACGUGCAGUCUACUGAAUGCUGCUGGGUAGUAUGCAUUUGGUAUGCAUGCGGCCCAGUUGGUUAUUCAAAAUGUUCAGUGUGAUCUUGAUCCGCUAGAGGUUCACACGAUGAAAGCUGCCAUAUAAUUUGAUUAUUCUGAAUGCCGCCUUUUCAGAUUAAUUAGCCAAUGAUGUCUCUUUUUAAGGAUAGCAUUAUCGGAAGAACGGAAUCUGACAUCGAACGUCAUGUGUGGUCAGAGAACAAACCAUAUAUACCAAGGCCUAUUCUCAGCAUGCAUGUGAGGAUAGGAGACAAGGCUUGUGAAAUGGCAGUGGUUGACGUCGACAAAUACAUGGAGCUUGCUGCUCGUCUCCGCCGACGGUUUCUGAGUGACAGAAACAUCUGGCUCUCUACUGAAA